rnacentral:rRNA from 1 species
UGGCUCAGAACGAACGCUGGCGGCGUGGAUAAGACAUGCAAGUCGGACGAGAUUUCGUCCUGUAGCAAUACGGGAAGAAGUCUAGUGGCGAACGGGUGCUUAACACGUGGGCAAUCUGUCUUAAAGUGGGGGAUAGCUCGGCGAAAGCCGAAUUAAUACCGCAUGUGAUUAGAGUGGACAUCCAUUCAAAAUCAAAGGUGGCGCAAGCUACCGCUUUUUGAGGAGCCCGCGGCCUAUCAGCUAGUUGGUGAGGUAACGGCUCACCAAGGCUUUGACGGGUAGCUGGUCUGAGAGGACGACCAGCCACACUGGGACUGAGACACGGCCCAGACACCUACGGGUGGCAGCAGUCGAGAAUUUUUCUCAAUGGGGGAAACCCUGAAGGAGCGACGCCGCGUGGAGGAUGAAGGUCUUCGGAUUGUAAACUCCUGUCAUUGGGGAACAAGGUGCAUACGUUAACUGCGUGUGCAUUGAUAGUACCCGAAGAGGAAGAGACGGCUAACUCUGUGCCAGCAGCCGCGGUAAUACAGAGGUCUCAAGCGUUGUUCGGAUUCAUUGGGCGUAAAGGGUGCGUAGGCGGCGCGGUAAGUCGGGUGUGAAAUCUCG